UACGUAGGGAGCAAGCGUUGUCCGGAUUUACUGGGUGUAAAGGGUGCGUAGGCGGCUUUACAAGUCAGGCGUGAAAUACAUGGGCUUAACCCAUGGACUGCGUUUGAAACUGUAGAGCUUGAGUGAAGUAGAGGUAGGCGGAAUUCCCGGUGUAGCGGUGAAAUGCGUAGAGAUCGGGAGGAACACCAGUGGCGAAGGCGGCCUACUGGGCUUUAACUGACGCUGAGGCACGAAAGCAUGGGUAGCAAACAGGAUUAGAUACCCUGGUAGUCCAUGCCGUAAACGAUGAUUACUAGGUGUGGGGGGUCUGACCCCUUCCGUGCCGGAGUUAACACAAUAAGUAAUCCACCUGGGGAGUACGGCCGCAAGGUUGAA
rnacentral:rRNA from 1 species